rnacentral:rRNA from 1 species
UCCUGCCAGUGUCUAUAUGCUUGUUUCAAAGACUAAGCCAUGCAUGUCUAAGUACAGCUUGGGGGAGCAAUCCUCUGGGUGAAACCGCGGACGGCUCAUUAAAUCAGUCGUGGUCUAAAUGGGCUAAAGUUCUCCUUUUGGAUAACUGUGGAAAAUCCAGAGCUAAUACAUGCAAUUAACGAGUCCUGAAUCGUAGUUGGGUAGCAAUAUUCAGCGAAAGUUUGGGAUGCUUUUAUUAGACCGAGUCGCGCGCAUGCAGGGUUUAGCCUUUCAUUCUUUCGGGUUUGAUUGGCGGCCUUUUGUGUGUCGAUUAGUAAGCGCUACAUGGUGAACCCUGGAUAACACUUGACGAGCGUGUCUUAUGACACGCCGCCUACUUACGAGUGACUGCCCUAUCAGCUAAUAACGUAUGUUAUACGCGAACGCUGGCUAUAACGGGUAACGGGGAAUCAGAGUUCGAUUCCGGAGAGGCAGCCUUAGAAACGGCUACCACGUCUAAGGACGGCAGCAGGCACGCAAAUUACCCAAUCCCAGCACCUGGGGGAGGUAGUGACGAUACUUACUGAUGCGGGUUGUUCUUAUGAACAUUCGCAAUCGGAAUGGCUAUUUUCUAAACACCCUAUCGAGAACCUACUGGAGGGCAAGCCUGGUGCCAGCAGCCGCGGUAAUUCCAGCUCCAGUGGCGUAUGCCAAUGUUGCUGCGGUUAAAAGGCUCGCAGUUGAAUGUCAGUUAUAAUACGCGGUGAAGUGCCGGGACGUUGUUUGAAUGUAGGCCUCGUGUCUCGCUCGGACCGUCCCCUGAGCGCAUUUCUCGCAAUCUAACAAGAAUUACAGAGCUUGUUGCGUCUGUUUACAGGCGCAGUAUCUUUGUAAUUGACACCUUGAGUAAAUCAGAGUGCUUAACGCAGUCGUUUAAUUAUCGGCGGCUAGCCCAUUGGGAGAGUUGUCGGUGGCGGAGUAAUCCGUUUAGACAUUGUCUUUGCUUUGCAUGGUACGUCGAAAGACGCCGUGUGAGUUGGUCGCGCUUACGGUUUGACGCACGCUUCGUGUGCGCGUGCACCAACGAGCACGGAAUGAUAUGAAAGGGAUGGUUCGAAGGCAUUGGUAUUGCUGGGCGAGAGGUGAAAUUCUGUGACCCCCGCAAGACUCCCUGAAGCGAAAGCGUCUGCCUAGGACGUCUUCAUUAAUCAUGAACGAAAGUUGAAGGAUCGAAGGCGAUCAGAUACCGCCCUAGUUUUAACCGUAAACUAUACCAACCAUCAAUCCGUCGGAGCGUUCCCUUACUCCCGUCGGCUAGUUCGCUGGUCGAUGUGGACAAGUGUAAGCUCGAUGGGCAGCUUCUCUACUACGGAAAACCAGAGUUUUUCGGUUCCGGGGGGAGUCUGGUUGCAAAGCUGAAACUUAAAGGAAUUGACGGAAAGGCACCACCAGGCGUGGAGCUUGCGGCUCAAUUUGACUCAACACGGGAAAUCUCACCAGACCCAAACAUCUUUAAUGACUGACAGACUGAAAGCUCUUUCUUGAUAAAGUGGAUGGUGGUGCAUGGCCGUUCUUAGUUGGUGGAGUGAUCUGUCUGGUUAAUUCCGAUAACGAACGAGACUCUCCCCUGCUAACGAACCUAGUGUUCUUGUAGACAGUGUGAUUCGAAUCAUGAAUAUGUGCUCGCGAGAGUUUAUUCUGACGAUGUCCGCUGAUCCUUGCCGCGUUGAGUGUCAUUCUCUGUACGAUUCGCAUGCACAGACGACAUUUCGGUGUAGUCUGUAUGUGUUGUUUUUGUGCGAGAUGCUAUCGACUGUGGCUUGGAGUUAAUCUUCUUAGAGGGAUUGUCGACUAGUAAGUCGAAAGAAACCGAGAGCAAUAACAGGUCUGUGAUGCCCUUAGAUGUUCUGGGCUGCACGCGUGUUACAAUGCCGGGAUCAACGGGCUAAAACACUUCUCGUGUCCUACUCCGAAAGGAGCGGGUAAUCCUUUGAAAUCCCUGACGCGUGAGAGAUUUGUUCUCUUCGCACUAUGGCUUGCUUGGGACUGGGGAUUGCAAUUAUUCCCCACGAACGAGGAAUGCCUUGUAGUUGCAAGUCACAGAGCUUGCUGCGACUCUGUCCCUGCCCUUUGUACACACCGCCCGUCGCUACUACCGAUUGAGUGUACCAGUGAGAUGCUUGGAUUGGCGAACCGAUGUCGUAAGACUCGGCGCACGACAUAAAGAGACUCGAACU